CAAACGGUUAGAGAGAAGUAAAGGGUGAGAGAGACGUACGGAAACACAUGUCGAGAUAGGCUUCUCGAUCCAUCGGUGCGAGGCAUAUUGGACACGGGUUUGGAUCCUCCGAAGAGCGAGAUCCACUCUGAUGGAGGCUACGACACCGUUUUGACAGGUAUUUAUUACAUAAACAAAAAUGAGAGAAAAGGAAGAAAAAGGAAAAAAAACAGCUGGAGAAACAAUGCUCCAAAACAUUGCUGGAGUUCUCUGCAUUCUGAACAAGGCCUUCCAAGCAACAGCUUCUGAGCAUCGUUUCAAGAUCUGCAAAUCUUUAGCCCAUGAAGAUAUGGACUCGCAACUCUUGAAGAUCUGAAAUGUUUCUUUCCAAGAUCACAGAGUAGUGGAGCAACAUUGGAUGCUACUACCUCAACCUUCCAUCCAUAACAGAAUUUUACCACCAAUUCAAAAACUUCAGGUCCACCCGGAAGAUCAUCUAUCUGGAUACAGAUCAGAUGCAGGGACUAGAUGACCAUGGGCUUCUCUCAGGCCCGGGCAAAUUGUUUUUAUUUUAUUGAAAUGAAAGCGGUGAGAUUACUCAUAUGUUUCCUGUUCAAUCAGAAAGAUACAUCACUCACCUUGUGCAAGUGAAAGCUUGAACCAUCAAUCAGCACAAUCAGAUCGCUCGCAGCUUUUGUCCUAACAAUCCUGCAUGCCACAUGUGCUUCAGCAACCAUACUGGUACUAACCGGGAAGAUGACACACUGGUUAGGCUUUUCCCCAGGCACCAAACCAGACACGGGAAUUGCCCUCUCAACACUUCUUCCCAUGGCAGUAUUGCAAUGUUCUUGUCUAGAACCAGGAGUCACAGCCCUGUACUUCACUCUUUAAAGCUUCAUCCUUUAUCUCGUGCAUAGAAAUGCACGCAUAUACGCAGCUAAGUCCUUAUAAAUACCGCCACAGUUCACCUACCCAGUGCUUAUUCGGAAAGGUAAAAGUGGGUUUGCCAUUAAUAAGGUUUGUUGCCUUUUGCCUUCUCCUGUCACCAUACAUGAUAAGCGUGGAGAAAAUGGAGCCAAGAUGACUUGACAAUAUUUGUUCAACAUUCUCAUCCACUAGUGUGGAGGACACAAAUGAAAGAAGUCUCUAUCAGCAGUCUUUCUCCAGAGGGUUAUAUAUCAAAGUUGAAUUGAUGAAUCAUGUUAUUUGCAUGGCAGAAAAUUUGUACAAUUUGCUUGACCAGUUCUAUUCUAUUUGCCUCCACACUUACAAUGGAAAUGUUGUUUUAGAGUAAUUGAUACGGCAAGAAGGAGAGCUUAGUGCAGUUUUAAAAGCUCAAGAGGCUAUUUCACUGCAUGGAAUAAAGAUUUCAUGGAUAGAAACUCAUGGUUCUUGCAAAUUCAGAA